AGUAGGCCCUAGACGUUGGCAUAUAUUUAAAUAUCAAUAGUAGGUCCUAGAUGUUAGCAUAUUUCAAUAUCAAUAGUAAGCCCUAGAUGUUUACGGUUUAACGUCUAACAUAUGUAUAGUAAGAAAAAAAAAGACAUAAAUAAUCAAAUAUUCGCUUGACAUGUCAUAUAACGAUGGGACUGACUUCAAGACAAAGUAUUUAUAUUUAAUCUCUUCAUUAUAUUACAUUCUAUUAUAAAUGUAGGAAAAUUGAGUCAAUUUA